CGAUAGUGAACCAGUACCGUGAGGGAAAGGUGAAAAGCACCCCGGAAGGGGAGUGAAAGAGAUCCUGAAACCGUGUGCCUACAAAUAGUCAGAGCCCGUUAACGGGUGAUGGCGUGCCUUUUGUAGAAUGAACCGGCGAGUUACGAUCCCGUGCGAGGUUAAGCUGAAGAGGCGGAGCCGCAGCGAAAGCGAGUCUGAAUAGGGCGUUUAGUACGUGGUCGUAGACCCGAAACCAGGUGAUCUACCCAUGUCCAGGGUGAAGUUCAGGUAACACUGAAUGGAGGCCCGAACCCACGCACGUUGAAAAGUGCGGGGAUGAGGUGUGGGUAGCGGAGAAAUUCCAAUCGAACCUGGAGAUAGCUGGUUCUCCCCGAAAUAGCUUUAGGGCUAGCCUUAAGUGUAAGAGUCUUGGAGGUAGAGCACUGAUUGGACUAGGGGUCCUCAUCGGAUUACCGAAUUCAGUCAAACUCCGAAUGCCAAUGACUUAUCCUUAGGAGUCAGACUGCGAGUGAUAAGAUCCGUAGUCAAAAGGGAAACAGCCCAGACCGCCAGCUAAGGUCCCAAAGUGUGUAUUAAGUGGAAAAGGAUGUGGAGUUGCUUAGACAACUAGGAUGUUGGCUUAGAAGCAGCCACCAUUUAAAGAGUGCGUAAUAGCUCACUAGUCGAGUGACUCUGCGCCGAAAAUGUACCGGGGCUAAAUACACCACCGAAGCUGCGGAUUGAUACCGAAUGGUAUCAGUGGUAGGGGAGCGUUCUAAGGACAGUGAAGUCAGACCGGAAGGACUGGUGGAGUGCUUAGAAGUGAGAAUGCCGGUAUGAGUAGCGAAAGACGGGUGAGAAUCCCGUCCACCGAAUGCCUAAGGUUUCCUGAGGAAGGCUCGUCCGCUCAGGGUUAGUCAGGACCUAAGCCGAGGCCGACAGGCGUAGGCGAUGGACAACAGGUUGAUAUUCCUGUACCACCUCUUUAUCGUUUGAGCAAUGGAGGGACGCAGAAGGAUAGAAGAAGCGUGCGAUUGGUUGUGCACGUCCAAGCAGUUAGGCUGAUAAGUAGGCAAAUCCGCUUAUCGUAAAGGCUGAGCUGUGAUGGGGAAGCUCCUUAUGGAGCGAAGUCUUUGAUUCCCCGCUGCCAAGAAAAGCUUCUAGCGAGAUAAAAGGUGCCUGUACCGCAAACCGACACAGGUAGGCGAGGAGAGAAUCCUAAGGUGUGCGAGAGAACUCUGGUUAAGGAACUCGGCAAAAUGACCCCGUAACUUCGGGAGAAGGGGUGCUUUCUUAACGGAAAGCCGCAGUGAAUAGGCCCAAGCGACUGUUUAGCAAAAACACAGCUCUCUGCGAAGCCGUAAGGCGAAGUAUAGGGGGUGACACCUGCCCGGUGCUGGAAGGUUAAGGAGAGGGGUUAGCGUAAGCGAAGCUCUGAACUGAAGCCCCAGUAAACGGCGGCCGUAACUAUAACGGUCCUAAGGUAGCGAAAUUCCUUGUCGGGUAAGUUCCGACC
rnacentral:rRNA from 1 species